AAUAUAUGAUCCUCCUCUAUAUAUAUAUCCCCACAUACCAAUCUCAACAUGCAUCAAUUAUCUUGUAUUCAUAGUUUCUUUGUUGUGAUUUGUGAAACAGAGUAUCCAACAUGUCUUUUACACCAUAUCAACUCUAUGAAUGCUCAAGGUCCGGAGGAAGAUAUGAAAGAACCCUUGAGGAUGAGAACUGCGCCGUCGACACGGCCGAGGACGGCCUUUUCAGCUACCACCACCGUCGCCACCAGCCCCAUACUCGCAAGCGAGUAGUCGAAGUGGUAGAGUACCAGAGGACACCGGAAUAUGGCACUCAUGAAGUGAUCUAUAAAGGAGUUGAAACUGACCCAACUUGCCAACAACAAAGGAUAGGGCAUGGACAUUUUGGCCACUAAAAUUGUUCAAUUAUAACGGAAUAUUCACAUGAAGACAUCUUUAUCUUAAAAAAAAAAAUAAUUUGGUAAUUUGCUAGGCAGGAACUAUAAUAAAUAAUACAAAUAUAUGUAUUGGUGUGGUGUGUGCUUGUACUAAUUAAUAAAUUCCUGCUUGCAUUGGCUUGAUCUUAUAUGUAAUCAUCUUAUUAAUAAAGCUUAAUUUAUUUGCAGUAUACUACUUCUGAUGAAGACAACUUUUUUUUUUAGAAGAAGGAAAUUAAAUCUGGAUUUUUUUAUUAACACAUUAUUUAAUUAUUA
rnacentral:lncRNA from 1 species